rnacentral:rRNA from 1 species
UAAGGAAUAUUGGACAAUGGAGGCAACUCUGAUCCAGCCAUGCCGCGUGAAGGAAUAAGGCCCUAUGGGUUGUAAACUUCUUUUAGACGGGACAAAACCCCUUUACGUGUAAAGGGUUGAUGGUACUGUCAGAAUAAGCAUCGGCUAACUUCGUGCCAGCAGCCGCGGUAAUACGAAGGAUGCAAGCGUUAUCCGGAAUUAUUGGGUCUAAAGGGUGCGUAGGCGGACUAAUAAGUCAGUGGUGAAAGCCUGCAGCUUAACUGCAGAAUUGCCAUUGAUACUGUUAGUCUUGAGUACAGUUGAGGUAGGCGGAAUGUGUCAUUUAGCGGUGAAAUGCUUAGAUAUGACACAGAACACCAAUUUCGGAGGCAGCUAGCUAAGCUAUAACUGACGCUCAUGCACGAAAGCGUGGGGAGCAAACA